rnacentral:SRP_RNA from 1 species
CCGUGCUAGGCGGGGAGCUCGUGGUGCCCUGUACCCCAAAUCCACGUAUGGGGGGCUGAACUCCCGUCCGAGGUUCGGACCGCGCCACGCACGACCCAGGCGAAGGUGCCGAAGAUCGGGUCCUGCGCAACGGGGUCCCGCCAACCGAGUCAGGUCCGGAAGGAAGCAGCUCUCCGCGGAUCCCCCCGUGUGCCGCAGGUUCGCCUGGUCCGAGCCGGAGUCCGGGAACCGGUGUGGUGGCGGCCGGGUCGACGACGGGUGCACGG